rnacentral:lncRNA from 1 species
CUGCUGUAAUGUAAGAAACGCCUUUUGCCUCCUGCCAUAAUUCUGAGGCCUCACAGCCAUGUGGAACUGUAAGUCCAACUAAACCUCUUUUUCUUCCCAGUCUCGAGUAUGUCUUUAUCAGUAGUGUGAAAACGGACUAAUACAGGCACGCACUCUGUGUGUGGUAUGUGCAGGGUAUAUGUGUGGUGUGUGUGGCGUGCACUGUGUGGUGUGUGUGGGGCAUGUGUGUGGUGUGUGGCAUGCAUCGUGUGUGUGGUGUGUGUGGCGUGCAGUGUGUGUGUGGUGUGUGUGGCAUGCACUGUGUGUGUGGUGUGCAUAGUGUGUGCGGGGCGUGCAGUGUGUGUGCGGUGUGUGUGGCAUGCACUGUGUGUGUGGUGUGCAUAGUGUGUGCGGGGCGUGUGUGCGUGUG